GAUGAACGCUGGCGGCGUGCUUAACACAUGCAAGUCGAACGGGAUCCCAGGAGCUUGCUCCUGGGUGAGAGUGGCGAACGGGUGAGUAAUGCGUGACCGACCUGCCCCAUACACCGGAAUAGCUCCUGGAAACGGGUGGUAAUGCCGGAUGCUCCAACAUGACGCAUGUCGUGUUGGGAAAGAUUCAUCGGUAUGGGAUGGGGUCGCGUCCUAUCAGCUUGAUGGCGGGGUAACGGCCCACCAUGGCUUCGACGGGUAGCCGGCCUGAGAGGGCGACCGGCCACAUUGGGACUGAGAUACGGCCCAGACUCCUACGGGAGGCAGCAGUGGGGAAUAUUGCACAAUGGGCGCAAGCCUGAUGCAGCGACGCCGCGUGCGGGAUGACGGCCUUCGGGUUGUAAACCGCUUUUGACUGGGAGCAAGCCCUUCGGGGUGAGUGUACCUUU
rnacentral:rRNA from 1 species